UAAAUCUUAUAAUCUCUCUAUCCUAGGAUUUACAAAAAUCUAAAUUAAAGUUUUAGUAUAUAUAAAAUAUAAUAAAAUAAAGUUGAUAAGACAAAUAGAGAGUGAGAGAGUUCUAGAAUGGAUGGGGUAUAAAAUGUACACUUACUUUUGAGGUGUAACCUAGUAUUGCUCAAAUAUAAUUUCUAGUACGUAAAAUUGACUUAAAACAUCGAAUAUGUUAUUCACUCUAGAUUAUUGAUCACACUUUUCAUCUAUCAAAUAUUACAUAGUUUUGGAUAAAUUAAAAAAACUACACCAAAUAAGAUGUUUAUAUAUUCGAAUACAGUCAACGAAUUUUUGUACGUGUAAUGUCUGACAUACAACUCAACGAAUUUUUGUACGUCUAAUGUUUGAGAUACAACUCAAAUAUUCUUUUUCCUCACCUUUUGCGGACUAGGAACUACAAUGUAAAAAUGUAGGAUAAUCCACUUUUUAAAUCUUGAGAAUAAGACCACAACUGCAAAUGAACAUAAUAUUAGGAUUUCCAUAAAUAUGGCCCAAUUAAUCAUAUUCAAAUUUAAAUUUACUAUAAAUAAAGGUCAAUCCUGUUAGCUAUAGAACUGUUUGAUAUGAUAUAUCUUAUCCCUUUUCCAUUUAAUUUAAUCUUAAUCAGAUUUUGAUAGAAAAUCGAUUUAAACUCUAUAUAAAAGAGUAUUGGUCCUGCCACAUUUUUAUGUAUAAUAUGAUAAAGAUUUACCAUCGAUUCCACACCAUACACAAAAGUACUUGAGAUAAGAGGAGAAACCAAAUUAUCCAAUUAAGUUCGGUUGGUGUUGUUUAGUCGGACUUCUCGCUUCGCAAGUUAAUCAAAAAAUUUUUCCCUAAGGUGCUCUGUGAGUUAUUUUAGUUUUGUCUAUGAUCCUGAAUUUUGAUAUGUACUUAAUUUUAUUGUUGUUUUAUAUACUUAUAAAGAUCCAUCAAUUGGUAUCAGAGUCUUGGUUGACAAUAUUAAAUAUUGU
rnacentral:lncRNA from 1 species